GAUGAACGCUGGCGGCGUGCCUAAUACAUGCAAGUCGAGCGAACAGAUGAGGAGCUUGCUCCUCUGACGUUAGCGGCGGACGGGUGAGUAACACGUGGAUAACCUACCUAUAAGACUGGGGUAACUUCGGGAAACCCGAGCUAAUACCGGAUAAUAUAUUGAACCGCAUGGUUCAAUAGUGAAAGACGGUUUUGCUGUCACUUAUAGAUGGAUCCGCGCCGCAUUAGCUAGUUGGUAAGGUAACGGCUUACCAAGGCAACGAUGCGUAGCCGACCUGAGAGGGUGAUCGGCCACACUGGAACUGAGACACGGUCCAGACUCCUACGGGAGGCAGCAGUAGGGAAUCUUCCGCAAUGGGCGAAAGCCUGACGGAGCAACGCCGCGUGAGUGAUGAAGGUCUUCGGAUCGUAAAACUCUGUUAUUAGGGAAGAACAAAUGUGUAAGUAACUAUGCACGUCUUGACGGUACCUAAUCAGAAAGCCACGGCUAACUACGUG
rnacentral:rRNA from 1 species